rnacentral:sRNA from 1 species
GCUGGGUGCGGUGGUGCAUGCCUGUAAUCCCAGCAGCUUCGGAGGCUGAGGCAGGAGGAUCGAGAGCUCAAAGCCAAACUCGGCAAAAGUGAGGCACUAAGCAACUCAGUGAGACCCUGUCUCUA